GCUGCCGUAGCUCAGUCGGUAGAGCAUACCCUUGGUAAGGGUAAGGUCGAUGGUUCGAUUCCAUUCGGCAGCACCA
rnacentral:tRNA from 15 species